UCCCCGCGCAGAGUACAGCCCGUCGGUCUUUCCGUCCCCGGCUCGGUGGUGAGUGUCCUCCGGGAGGGUGUCCUGCGGGAGCAUCGUCACGUGUCCCCUCGAGCUUUGCCCGCCUUGAGCUCAGCUGCUCCCGGCGGCCAGAACGGAGGGGUAGAGCAGUUCUCGGCGGCCUGGGGGGGCGGGCGGCCGUGCCCAGCCCGGGGCCGCGGAGACACAAUGACCCCUGCGCUCUCCGGCCAUGGCGCCCUCACCGCCGCCCUUUUUCUCCGCAGGCCGAUCCUCCGCAGCCAGGUUCCCAGUGCUCUCGGUCGUGCGGCUGCUUCGGUCCCGAGCGCAGGAGGAAAACGACAAGAAAGAAACUCGUGAGCUGAAUGCCGGGAAGUCGAAGGGGGUAAUGCUCCAAGGUGAAGUAGUCUCCCGUGCAGUGACACGGAUCUCCUGUGUUUUAGGAUUAUCAGCGUCGUAGCAGAUGGUGUCACCCACUUGAUUGCUGAGAUAGGUGCCGAAGCCCCAUUUUACAGAAAAGGAGACUGAGGGCCAUAUGAGAGAAUCCCUGAAUAGCCUUGUAGUAAUUGAUUGCACUGAAGGUACCCUCCCCAAAAUAUGUUUUUAAUUUUUUUUUCUGGUGGGGGACGUUCAAGACAGGGUUUCUCUAUGCCUGGCUCCCUGUAACUCAGACAUUAGCCUUCCUCUGCCUCCGAGUGCUGGAAUUAAAGGCCUAUGCUACCAUGCUUGGUUAUGAUAUGUUAGGGACUUUAAGCAAAGUUGGACAGUGGCGGGGCACACCUUUAAUCUCAGCUCUUGGGAGGCAGAGGCAGGCAGAUUUCUGUAAGUUCAAAGUCGGCCUGGUCUACAAGAGCUAUUUCCAGGACAGACUCCAAAGUUACAGAGAAACCCUGUCUCAAACCAAAAAGAAAAAAAAAAAACAAAAGGGGGAAGUAAAGGACAGGCUAGAUCAUUGGGAUUUGCUGGUCUAGGAGGUGGUGCUUGUGUCCCCUUGCCUACUAGGACAGGUUCUUUGCUAGCCCAGUCUGUGGCAGUAGUCCUGAUGUUAUUAACCCGUAAAUUGCUGUGUAUCACUUUCCAGGAUCUUAAAUAAAAGCUUUUCUGUGCCAAUUCA